CGGGCACCAUGUUGAUCAGCUGUCUAUUCAUUACGCAGCCCGCAAGCUUUUAUUGAGCGGCGAUGUGAUAGUUAACCCUGGUCCCAACGCAAGUUCUCAGCGCUGUCCUGCCUCCCAAGCCCGGUUGACAGAUGUUCAUAAACAACCCGAAGUAGCGGAAAUUCUCUCCGAACUCCUAGUUGAAGAUCUGCUACAAGAGCUGCGUCAAUGGACUCUGUGGCAGUGUAACCACGCACGCGUCGGAGUCUUUUGCGCAGUUCACCGAGCUUCAGCCGGGGCCUGCGAAGCGUGCCACGUGGACAUUAUGCGCCGCAUCAGUGGAGGAACUGUCUUGUGUUCUUGCGGCACUUGCGACGAUGUGCGAGAUGACGCCCGGGCAGUUUCGUGCUUCACCGCAAUGCUACGAGCGAAGAACUAAAGUGGUAUCCUUCACGGGAACGCGCAAUGACGAAAAAAAGAACUGUAGGGCGUGCCAAAGUAUUUCCAUUUUUCAUCCGCUCAGUCUUAAUGGCCAACGACAACAAAAUUGUGGGCCAAGUGAGAAUGCCUAGCUCGAGAUAAUGUAGCUAAAAAGCAGCCUUGUUUCGCAAUUUCUGCAUUCGGAGUACGAACGGUUGAGUCACAAGAAAUUCCCAAAUUAGAUGUUUUUGUUAACGAAACUGAAAAAAUAACACCACCAUUAGCGCUCGCUGGAAGUGAUGCGUUUCCCAGAACGUCCUUCUACUGAACGUGGCCUGC